CUCGGUAAAGCCGAUGAUCACGACGAUGUAAGAGUUGACUAGCUAGGGUUUUCAAUUAUUUCGGUUCGGUUCGGUUCAAUU
rnacentral:sRNA from 1 species